UACAGAGGUCUCAAGCGUUGUUCGGAUUCAUUGGGCGUAAAGGGCGCGUAGGCGGGUGCUCUAGUCCGGGGUGAAAUCCCACAGCUCAACUGUGGAACUGCCUCGGAUACUGGGCGUCUCGAGGGUGGCAGGGGUAUGCGGAACUAUCGGUGGAGCGGUGAAAUGCGUUGAUAUCGAUAGGAACUCCGGUGGCGAAGGCGGCAUACUGGUCCACUUCUGACGCUGAGGCGCGAAAGCCAGGGGAGCAAACGGG
rnacentral:rRNA from 1 species